AAGCAGUAUUGUAUCUUCUUAUUGAAGAAAAAGCUAUUAUAAAUAAUCAUUUCUUUGAACCAUAAGUGAUACAAAAAGUACAAAGAUUGAGAUUUCGUGUAUAGCAAAAAUAUUCUCUUGCAUAUUAAUUGUUUCUAACAUCAGGUUAUUAAUCAUUAUAACCUAAAUUUCACUUCGAAUCGAAAUGUAGGUAUUAAAAUCAAAUCUCCAAACGUCUUAAAUAUUUAUCUUUUAGGUUAUAUCAUUUAGCUCGACGAUAUUUAAGAAAAAGUACAUCGAUGAAAUUUCCCCUUUGUUCGUAAGUAGCACAAAAAAAGGGAAAUUUCCCUAACUUAACAACACUGUAUUUAAAUGUAAACAAAGUCGCAGAAGUGCAGAUAAACAACCAAAUGAAGCAAUUGCAUGCAACUGUUUUGUUCUACGUCUAAUCACAUAAGCAACCAACAGAUGUGAUAGCCGGCGCAACAGUUGGUUAUUUUAUCAGAGUCUGGAACGUUCUGCAGGGGAUUUGAUAAUAAGAUCCAGAUUUUAUUAAAAACCAAGUAUCAUCACGGAAGUCUACAUUUGAAUGCCGCUCUUAAGUCAAAUACGUACAUGAUUGAAAUAUAAAAUUCUGUUAGAAAAAGCUAUUUUUCAUAAAAAUGUUUGGAAAUUGUUAAUGUUAAUGUAUA